rnacentral:rRNA from 1 species
CCCUGCCAUUUGUACACACCGCCCGUCGCUACUACCGAUUGAACGUUUUAGUGAGGUAUUUGGAUUGGACCUGCGAGGGUUAACGCCUUCGCUGCGUCCGAGAAGACUCCCAAACUUGAGCGUUUAGAGGAAGU